rnacentral:rRNA from 1 species
AACGCGAAGAACCUUACCAAGUCUUGACAUCCCAAUGACCGGAACUUAACCGUUCCUUCCCUUCGGGGCAUUGGAGACAGGUGGUGCAUGGUUGUCGUCAGCUCGUGUCGUGAGAUGUUGGGUUAAGUCCCGCAACGAGCGCAACCCUUAUCCUUAGUAGCCAGCACAUGAUGGUGGGCACUCUAGGGAGACUGCCAGGGAUAACCUGGAGGAAGGUGGGGAUGACGUCAAAUCAUCAUGCCCCUUAUGAUUUGGGCUACACACGUGCUACAAUGGCGUAAACAAAGGGAAGCGACCCCGCGAGGGUAAGCAAAUCUCAAAAAUAACGUCUCAGUUCGGAUUGCAGGCUGCAACUCGCCUGCAUGAAGCUGGAAUCGCUAGUAAUCGCGAAUCAGAAUGUCGCGGUGAAUACGUUCCCGGGUCUUGUACACACCG